CUACGCCUACGGGAGGCAGCAGUGGGGAAUAUUGCACAAUGGGAGAAACCCUGAUGCAGCGACGCCGCGUGAGUGAUGAAGGCUUUCGGGUUGUAAACCGCUUUCAGCAGGGAAGAUAAUGACGGUACCUGCAGAAGAAGCCCCGGCUAACUACGUGCCAGCAGCCGCGGUAAUACGUAGGGGGCAAGCGUUAUCCGGAUUCAUUGGGCGUAAAGCGCGCGCAGGCGGGCCGCUAAGCGGGACCUCUAAUCUUGGGGCUCAACCUCAAGCCGGGGCCCGA
rnacentral:rRNA from 1 species